AGUUACGUGGCCGAGCGGCAAGGCGGAGGUCCGCAUGACCUUUUACGAGGGUUCGAAUCCUUCCGUAACUGCCA
rnacentral:tRNA from 1 species